rnacentral:rRNA from 1 species
AUUGAACGCUGGCGGCAUGCCUUACACAUGCAAGUCGAACGGUAACAGGUCUUCGGAUGCUGACGAGUGGCGAACGGGUGAGUAAUACAUCGGAACGUGCCCGAGAGUGGGGGAUAACGAGGCGAAAGCUUUGCUAAUACCGCAUACGAUCUCAGGAUGAAAGCAGGGGACCGCAAGGCCUUGCGCUCACGGAGCGGCCGAUGGCAGAUUAGGUAGUUGGUGGGAUAAAAGCUUACCAAGCCGACGAUCUGUAGCUGGUCUGAGAGGACGACCAGCCACACUGGGACUGGGACACGGACCAGACUCCUACGGGAGGCAGCAGUGGGGAAUUUUGGACAAUGGCGCAAGCCUGAUCCAGCCAUGCCGCGUGCAGGAUGAAGGCCUUCGGGUUGUAAACUGCUUUUGUACGGAACGAAAAGGCUCCUUCUAAUAAAGGGGGUCCAUGACGGUACCGUAAGAAUAAGGAUCGGCUAACUUCGUGCCAGCCGCCGCCGUAAUAC